rnacentral:ncRNA from 2 species
GAUUUUGAUAUCUAAUAUAUUCGUAUAUCCCCGAAAAUAAGGUUUGGGGGUUUCUACAAGGGACCAUAAAUUCCUGACUACGAAUAGUGUGCUUUGGCAU